rnacentral:rRNA from 1 species
AGUGAACGCUGGCGGUAGGCCUAACACAUGCAAGUCGAACGGCAGCACAGUAAGAGCUUGCUCUUACGGGUGGCGAGUGGCGGACGGGUGAGGAAUACAUCGAAAUCUACUUUUUCGUGGGGGAUAACGUAGGGAAACUUACGCUAAUACCGCAUACGACCUACGGGUGAAAGCAGGGGAUCUUCGGACCUUGCGCGAUUGAAUGAGCCGAUGUCGGAUUAGCUAGUUGGCGGGGUAAAGGCCCACCAAGGCGACGAUCCGUAGCUGGUCUGAGAGGAUGAUCAGCCACACUGGAACUGAGACACGGUCCAGACUCCUACGGGAGGCAGCAGUGGGGAAUAUUGGACAAUGGGCGCAAGCCUGAUCCAGCCAUACCGCGUGGGUGAAGAAGGCCUUCGGGUUGUAAAGCCCUUUUGUUGGGAAAGAAAGGCAGCAGGUUAAUACCCCGCUGUUCUGACGGUACCCAAAGAAUAAGCACCUGCUAACUUCGUG